rnacentral:rRNA from 1 species
UACGGAGGAUGCGAGCGUUAUUCGGAUUUAUUGGGUUUAAAGGGUGCGUAGGCGGGCUGUUAAGUCAGCGGUCAAAUGUCGGGGCUCAACCCCGGCCCGCCGUUGAAACUGGCAGUCUCGAGUUGGAGAGAAGUAUGCGGAAUGCGCGGUGUAGCGGUGAAAUGCUUAGAUAUCGCGCAGAACCCCGAUUGCGAAGGCAGCAUACCGGUGCACAACUGACGCUCCGGCACGAAAGCGUGGGUAUCGAACAGG